AGAGUUUGAUCCUGGCUCAGGACGAACGCUGGCGGCGCGCCUAACACAUGCAAGUCGAACGAGAGAGAGGGAGCUUGCUUCCUUGAUCGAGUGGCGAACGGGUGAGUAACGCGUGAGGAACCUGCCUCAAAGAGGGGGACAACAGUUGGAAACGACUGCUAAUACCGCAUAAGCCCACGGUGCCGCAUGGCACAGAGGGAAAAGGAGCAAUCCGCUUUGAGAUGGCCUCGCGUCCGAUUAGCUAGUUGGUGAGGUAACGGCCCACCAAGGCGACGAUCGGUAGCCGGACUGAGAGGUUGAACGGCCACAUUGGGACUGAGACACGGCCCAGACUCCUACGGGAGGCAGCAGUGGGGAAUAUUGCACAAUGGGGGAAACCCUGAUGCAGCGACGCCGCGUGGAGGAAGAAGGUCUUCGGAUUGUAAACUCCUGUUGUUGAGGAAGAUAAUGACGGUACUCAACAAGGAAGUGACGGCUAACUACGUGCCAGCAGCCGCGGUAAAACGUAGGUCACAAGCGUUGUCCGGAAUUACUGGGUGUAAAGGGAGCGCAGGCGGGCGAUCAAGUUGGGAGUGAAAUCCAUGGGCUCAACCCAUGAACUGCUUUCAAAACUGGUCGUCUUGAGUAGCGCAGAGGUAGGCGGAAUUCCCGGUGUAGCGGUGGAAUGCGUAGAUAUCGGGAGGAACACCAGUGGCGAAGGCGGCCUACUGGGCACCAACUGACGCUGAGGCUCGAAAGUGUGGGUAGCAAACAGGAUUAGAUACCCUGGUAGUCCACACCGUAAACGAUGAUUACUAGGUGUUGGGAGAUUGACCCUCUCAGUGCCGCAGUUAACACAAUAAGUAAUCCACCUGGGGAGUACGACCGCAAGGUUGAAACUCAAAGGAAUUGACGGGGGCCCGCACAAGCAGUGGAGUAUGUGGUUUAAUUCGACGCAACGCGAAGAACCUUACCAAGUCUUGACAUCCCUUGACGAUGCUGGAAACAGUAUUUCUCUUCGGAGCAAGGAGACAGGUGGUGCAUGGUUGUCGUCAGCUCGUGUCGUGAGAUGUUGGGUUAAGUCCCGCAACGAGCGCAACCCUUAUCUUCAGUAGCCAGCAUAUAGGAUGGGCACUCUGGAGAGACUGCCAGGGAUAACCUGGAGGAAGGUGGGGAUGACGUCAAAUCAUCAUGCCCCUUAUGACCAGGGCUACACACGUGCUACAAUGGCGUAAACAAAGGGAAGCAGAGCCGCGAGGCCGAGCAAAUCUCAAAAAUAACGUCUCAGUUCGGAUUGUAGUCUGCAACUCGACUACAUGAAGCUGGAAUCGCUAGUAAUCGCAGAUCAGAAUGCUGCGGUGAAUACGUUCCCGGGUCUUGUACACACCGCCCGUCACACCAUGGGAGUCAGUAACGCCCGAAGUCAGUGACCCAACCGAAAGGAGGGAGCUGCCGAAGGUGGGACCGAUAACUGGGGUGAAGUCGUAACAAGGUA
rnacentral:rRNA from 1 species